AAUUGGAAGUUCUUCCAAUAACUGGAGGAUGUUCAUCUCUUGAAAAGCUUCGCAUUUGCGAUUGUGAAAAAUUAAGCAAGAUUGGAGAUGGAUUAUCUACCUCCACUUGUCUCAAAGAAUUAGAUCUAGCAGAUUGUCCUGAUUUAAGUUCGAUCCCAAAUUUGGAAGGAUUUUCCUCUCUUCAAUAUCUGUCAGUUCGAUGUUGCAAGAAAUUGGAAGUUCUUCCAAUAACCGGAGGAUGUUCAUCUCUUGAAAAGCUUCGCAUUUACGAUUGUGAAAAAUUAAGCAAGAUUGGAGAUGUAUUAUCUACCUCCACUUGUCUCAAAGAAUUAGAUCUAGUCAAUUGUCCUGAUUUAAGUUCGAUCCCAAAUUUGGAAGGAUUUUCCUCUCUUCAAGAUCUGUCAGUUUGGAGGUGCCUCAAAUUGGAAGUUCUUCCAAUAAC
rnacentral:lncRNA from 1 species